rnacentral:rRNA from 1 species
GAUCCUGGCUCAGGAUGAACGCUAGCGGCAGGCCUAACACAUGCAAGUCGAGGGGUAAGGCUCUUUCGGGAGUACACGACCGGCGCACGGGUGAGUAUCGCGUUUGCAAUCUACCUCUAACUGGGGCAUAGCCCGGAGAAAUUCGGAUUAAUACCCCAUAAUGUCAUGAGAUCGCAUGAUUUUAUGAUUAAAGCUUUGGCGGUUAAAGAUGGGCAUGCGUGACAUUAGCUUGUUGGUGAGGUAACGGCUCACCAAGGCAACGAUGUCUAGGGGGUCUUAAAGGAUGAUCCCCCACACUGGUACUGAGACACGGACCAGACUCCUACGGGAGGCAGCAGUGAGGAAUAUUGGUCAAUGGGCGCAAGCCUGAACCAGCCAUCCCGCGUGCAGGAUGACAGCCCUAUGGGUCGUAAACUGCUUUUAUAUAGGAAGAAAUCCUUGUACGUGUACGAGGUUGACGGUACUAUAUGAAUAAGCAUCGGCUAACUCCGUGCCAGCAGCCGCGGUAAUACGGAGGAUGCAAGCGUUAUCCGGAUUCAUUAGGUUUAAAGGGUGUGUAGGCGGAAUAUUAAGUCAGUGGUGAAAUCCUGCAGCUUAACUGUAGCACUGCCAUUGAAACUGAUAUUCUUGAGUAUAGUUGAGGUAGGCGGAAUGUGUAAUGUAGCGGUGAAAUGCUUAGAUAUUACACAGAACACCGAUUGCGAAGGCAGCUCACUAAACUAACAUUGACGCUGAGGCACGAAAGCGUGGGUAGCGAACAGGAUUAGAUACCCUGGUAGUCCACGCCGUAAACGAUGAUCACUCGCUGUUGGCAAUACAUCGUCAGCGGCUGAGCGAAAGCAUUAAGUGAUCCACCUGGGGAGUACGGUCGCAAGAUUGAAACUCAAAGGAAUUGACGGGGGCCCGCACAAGCGGAGGAGCAUGUGGUUUAAUUCGAUCAUACGCGAGGAACCUUACCUGGGCUUAAAUGUAGAGUGCAUAAACGGGAAACUGUUUUCCCUCGGGACUCUUUACAAGGUGCUGCAUGGUUGUCGUCAGCUCGUGCCGUGAGGUGUCGGGUUAAGUCCCAUAACGAGCGCAACCCCUAUCGUUAGUUGCCAGCGAGUCAAGUCGGGGACUCUAACGAGACUGCCGGUGUAAACCGCGAGGAAGGUGGGGAUGACGUCAAAUCAGCACGGCCCUUAUGUCCAGGGCUACACACGUGUUACAAUGGCCGAUACAAAGGGCAGCUACCAGGUGACUGGAUGCUAAUCUCGAAAGUCGGUCUUAGUUCGGAUCGAAGUCUGCAACUCGACUUCGUGAAGCUGGAUUCGCUAGUAAUCGUAGAUCAGCAACGCUACGGUGAAUACGUUCCCGGGCCUUGUACACACCGCCCGUCAAGCCAUGGAAGCUGGGGGUACCUGAAGUCUGAAC